rnacentral:rRNA from 1 species
UACGGGGGGAGCAAGCGUUGUUCGGAUUUACUGGGCGUAAAGGGCGCGUAGGCGGUCAGCAUAAGUCGGUUGUGAAAUCUCCGAGCUUAACUCGGAAAGGUCAACCGAAACUGUGCGACUAGAGUGCAGAAGGGGCAACUGGAAUUCUUGGUGUAGCGGUGAAAUGCGUAGAUAUCAAGAGGAACACCUGCGGCGAAGGCGGGUUGCUGGGCUGACACUGACGCUGAAGCGCGAAAGCCAGGGGAGCGAACGGG